CAGGAAUGUUGUAGAGAUACAGCAGCCGCUUGCGGUCUGUAUACAGGUGCUGCAUGGCUGUCGUCAGCUCGUGCUGUGAAGUGUUGGGUAAGUCCCGCAACGAGCGCAACCCUAUCAUCUGUUGCCAGCAUUUAAGUGGGGACUCAGAUGAGACUGCCGGUGACAAACCGGAGGAAGGUGGGGACGACGUCAAGUCAUCAUGGCCCUUAUGUCCUGGGCUACACACGUGCUACAAUGGCCGGUACAGAGUGAAGCGAAACCGCGAGGUGAAGCAAAACGCAGAAAGCCGGUCUCAGUACGGAUUGGAGUCUGAAACUCGACUUCAUGAAGUUGGAAUCGCUAGUAAUCGCGCAUCAGCAUGGCGCGGUGAAUACGUUCCCGGGCCUU
rnacentral:rRNA from 1 species